AGCCUCUGUGGUGAGUAAAGUAACGGCUUGAUCUGUGAGAUAUCAUCAUAAGUCAUGUUGGAUAAAAAUAAUCUGAUACAUUGUGAUGUUGUACAUUUCCUUUCCUUUAGGUCGCAUCUAAGAAUGACAAUAAUGGAACAUAUGACACCAUCAACAUCGUUCCUUCUACUCCUAUCACACAUGAGCAGAAAGAUGAUGUGGUUUAUUCUGAGGUGACCGUUGUCAGUAAAAAACAACUGAAGAACAACAUUGUUCAGUCUGCUGGUGAUGUGACUUAUGCCGUCAUCAGAGGAGGAAAAACUGAACCUGAAGACGCCUGCAGAGAGCUUUAAUCCUCCCUGAACAAAACCACUCGCAAAUAAAACACAAACACACAUAAUUAAACAAAACUUAAAUUUCCUUUGACAAACAAACUCAAGUGCAGAUUUGAUUUAUUUGAUGUAUUUUUGGUUGGCUUUGGAAUGUUUGUUUGUUGUCUGUUUGUUUAUUAUUUGAUGUCAUUGUCCACAUGUUAAUGAAUCCUAACACGCCUGAUGAAUUUUCAUAUGUAUUGUUAACAGUGUACGUGAUCAAAUUGGUGUAGUGUCAUGGAAACAGAUUUCUUAGUUUGACUUUUUA